GGUUUGCGUAAGAGGGAGAGAGAUGGGGAGAGAGGAAGAAAUGGAGACAUUGGUGCUGGAGAGUUACUCCUCCACUCAAAGGAGCCCAUCUCAUCUCUCUCUCUGCUGCAUGCCCCUCUCCUUGGCUCACUUGGCUAGGGUCUGUUCCUGACAGAAGGACUGCCUGUUUGUUGGGGGGUGGGGGGGAGUGUGUAUAUGUAUGUGUGUGUGUGUGUGUGUGUGUGUGUUUUAAAUACCAAAAAAAAAAAACCGUGGCUACAAUCAGCUGCUGAGAGGAUCUCUCCGGUUUAGUUCCUGCCAAUUUCCCUCGGAGCUGGCACUGCAGGGGACUCCAGAGGCAUAGAGGAGAAGGAAGAGGUGAGGGAGGGUGGUUUGGGAAGGGAGGAGAAAUGGACACAUGCCAUCGAUGGAGCGACAAGGCUCUGGCUGCCAGAGUGCCAGCAGGCAGCAUGGGGCCAAAAAAAAAAAAAUCCAACAAAACAAAACCCACAACAAAUAGCUGGCAACUCGUCCUGAAGCAGGCGGCGUCUGAGUUGGCAGAGGUGCCAUGGAGGACAAGGCUGCAGCAUGCAGGCGAACCCGGAGAGUGAACAAGCGAGCCGGGGAGAGAUGUGGCGACACACGCGAUGCAGGGUGACCUGGUGCCAUGAGACAGAGGAUGAGCUGGAGUUCACAGGAUGCCUCAGAUGAAAAGUGAUGGAGCCUACAUAUAGCAGACAGCAAGUUCACGAUUCCAAGAUUCCCAAGAAGCAGAGCAAACCAGUGCCUGUUCUGAGGGCUAGAGGAGAGGCACAGAAAGUCCUUGGCUAGGCUGAGGGUACUUGGCUACUCUAGUUCUUCCUACAGAAGGCUUUCUCCACAGGAUCUCCCUUUUUCCCAUGGAAUUUGUGGGUUAACGCCUUUUGAGAUGCUGCUGCCUCUGCCUUCUAACCUGAAUUGUUCCUCUUCCAUGUGCUCAGACCCACCUCUCCCCAUUGGAAGAAUAUUCAGCCUGGGUUCAAGGAACUCUGGAAAAAUGUAGGACUUCUCCUAAGGCUUGUGCUCCUCUGGUGUCUGACUGCUCCUGCUUCCUUUGCAAUGGAAUUAUGAGAUGCAUGGGCCUCCUGGGACUUGGCUCCCUGGGCCCUGUGUGUGCUUUUUUUCCAAGGGCUGGGUUUGGGCACAUCUGGUUGCUGUCAGGCUUUGAAAUCCUUGGCUCACAUUCCUGGGGCAGCUGGGAGCAGGACUCAGGCUACGUGGUAGGGGAGGGGAGAGAUGAUGGGCACUGCCCCCCAGGGAUGAUCUCAGGGAAGAGGAGUUUUUUGGCCAUUGCUGACACUCCCCACCUCCAGACCCCCCCCCCCCCCCCAGUGGAAGCCAUAUCUCUCAUGGUCUGCAAUCUCUUGUGGGCUCUGGGGGCUGAGGCAGCAGCGGAGGAGGGGGCCAGCGCACAGGGGGUUAACCGCUGAUUACAGCCUUUGUCUCUGCAUCAGUGUACAUAAUGCGUUCUUCAUUUGCAUACUGCAGUGUGCGCUCAAUUAAAAUGAACUUUUAAUUUCUUCUAA